CUGGACUUAGACCAGGCCAGCUUGGAGAAGUCAAUGGAACUUUAUUGUCUGUGAUAUACCAACUGACAGAAGAGGAAUGGACAAUCUUCCUUUUAAAAUCGCAGCCCGUGGAUUUGGACAAGGAGGUCCUUCUGAAAAGGGAGUUUGAAGGCAACAAACUCUGCCCUGGAAACCUGUGGAAAGUAUAAGAGGAAGGAGACUCUCAGGACCCAUGGACCACACACCCCACUGCCAUCAUUAACAGUUAGAUCCUUGAGAUCAAUGGAAGCUCAGCUUCUUUAGGUAUAAGUUUGGGCACAUUACAUUCUAGGAGAUGGACACCCAG
rnacentral:lncRNA from 1 species